rnacentral:misc_RNA from 1 species
GUGUGUGUGUGUGUGUGUAAUUAAACAAGUAAUGACAAAUUAUAAAUUGCAUUUCUAGCUAGUUACUAAAAAUGCUUAAUGAAUAUCAAGAAUCUGUAUCAAUGUCAUCGUCACCAUCAUCAUCAUUAAAAUUGUUGAGAUUUUGAAUAUCUUCAUCACUGCUAAAAUAAUCAAUCAAUGUGUCAUCAACUUCAUUAGCUUCAUUGUCAUUCUCACCAACUUCAGGUAGUUGUGAAAUAAUUAAUGAUUCAACAUCUUCAACAUCCAUGUCUGCUCUAUGUAAUGAUUG